rnacentral:ncRNA from 1 species
GAUAGAGGCGCAGGCUUCAUCAGUAUUUUUCAGACAUAAGCACCGGAAUGGCUGUCUGAGGAAGAAAGGGGAGGCUGCCGAAGAGAAAAGGAGGGUUUCCGGCCCCUUUUCUCUGGGACGUAUGCAGAAGAUGCUGCGGACUGUCACUUUUUGUGGAGCGCUAUCAG